UGGCAGGGUAGCCUAGUGGUUAGAGCGUUGGGACUAGAUCUGGUAUGUGGCAGGGUAGCCUAGUGGUUAGAGCGUUGGGACUAGAUCUGGUAUGUGGCAGGGUAGCCUAGUGGUUAGAGCGUUGGGACUAGAUCUGGUAUGUGGCAGGGUAGCCUAGUGGUUAGAGCGUUGGGACUAGAUCCGGUAUGCAGCAGAGUGAUAAGGAGAAAACACUGUACAGAAAUAUACUUUUUGGCCUAAAUGCAAAGCCUUAUGUUUGGGGGAAAAUACAACACAGUGUACCUGACCGCCUCCUUAUAUUCAAGCAUGCUGGUGGCUGCAUCAGGUUAUGGGUAUGCGUGACAUCGGCAAAUACUGAGGAGGUUUUCAGGAUAAAAAAGAAAGUAGGUGGAGCAAAGCACGGUCAAACUCAGAGAGGACAUCCUGCUUUCAGUGUGCUUUCCACCAGACACUGAGAGAUGAUUUCACCCAUUCAGAAGGACAUUGACCUAAAACACAAGGCCAAAUCUACACUGGAGUUGCUUAUCAAGGAGGCUGGGAAUGGUCCUGAGUGGGCAACUUACAGUUUAGAUUUAAAUCUGCUUGAAAAUCUAUGGCAAGACUUGAAAAGGGCUGUCGAGCCAUGAUCCCCAACACCUUGGCAGAGCUUGAAGAAUUUUGAAAAGGAUAAUGGGCAAUUACUGUACAAUCAAGGUGUGCAAAGCUCUUCGAGACUUACCGAGAAGACUCACAGAUGUAAUUGCUGCCAAAAGGGGUUUAUAACAUAUAUCGACUCAGGGAGCUGAAUACUUAUGCCGUCUUAAAUGUAAAAAAAAAUAUAUUUAAAAAAUCCACGUUGACAGAAAAGUACAAUUAAAUCCAUUUUAAUUCCACUUUGUGAAACAAUAAAAUGAAUAGUUUUGCAAGGCACUGUUUCUGCCUUGCUCUGUGUCACAACAUGUAACAUGACAGGUGCCCUAUUAGGUGGCUACCAAUGGUCAUCCUUUUUCUAUGCAUUUCCUUAUUACUUUGACUGACUUGUGUACACAGACUGUGCAAAAACACACACACACAACGUGAUAUAUAUAUAUACAUAUAUAUACACACACAUAUGUGCACAAAUUAAUGAUGACGGUUUGAUUUAUGAUUAUGACAGAAUUGAGUGUGAGGAUUUAUUUUUAUUUUUUCUUAUUGGUUUCAAAAUAAUUUUCCUAACGAGCCUGGUCCUGAAAGUGGCCGUGGUUUCACACGUGGCAGGACGUGUCGUUGCCAAGACGACAGAGAUGCAGAAACGAGUCGUAGACCAGGAGGGAAGACAUGCAGGUGCUGUACCAGACAUGAUUUACUUUGUCCUCAUUGUCAUUCUUAUUGGGUUUUGUUUUGGAAGUUGCAGGAAAUAACGUGCACUAUGAUUUAUUUUACAUUUUAUUUACAGUGACGCACUACAGUCUGAGAUAUCACCUUAUUGAAUUUAUUACAGAAUCUUAGUGGCCAUGGUUACAGAUGCCUUGGGAAUUAAAAUAAUGGUUCGUCAUUGUUUAUUAUUCAGCCAUUUUUGUUUAUAUAUAUAUCAAUGUACAAAAUAUUUUUGUUUUUAAUAUUUAUUACUGUGAACAUAGUAUUUACAUUUUCUUACUUUUUUUUUCAUUUAUGGGACAAAUGUUAUAUAAAUGUAUCACGGGCCAUCGGUUGGAAAAACAAGAUGGUGAAUUUCUGAUGGACUGUUUCCCGAUUUAACUUAAUUCUUUUUCUAUAUUGAGAAAUAAAGAGCGUUUGAUUUACA